rnacentral:RNase_P_RNA from 2 species
AAAGCAGGCUAUCUUAUCGCUGUAUUAUUUAGUACAGAGGAAAGUCCGGACACCAUAGAGCAAUAUAGCGGGUAACGCCCGUCCUUUUACUUUUGUAAAAGCGGACCAGUGCAACAGAAAGCAAGUACAGUAAGGCUGUAGUGAAAUCGGUAAACUCUAUACGGUGAAACGCCAAGUAAAUCUGCAAUUAAGGGUUGCUCGCCCGAUGUGGAAGGGUAGGCGGAUUGAAUUAAAUAGUAAUAUUUAAUCUAGAUAAAUGAUAAGACAAGACAGAAUCCGGCUUAUAGGCCUGCUUUAUAU